rnacentral:rRNA from 1 species
UACGAAGGGGGCUAGCGUUGCUCGGAAUCACUGGGCGUAAAGCGCACGUAGGCGGAUUGCUAAGUCAGGGGUGAAAUCCUGGAGCUCAACUCCAGAACUGCCUUUGAUACUGGUGAUCUUGAGUCCGGGGAGAGGUGAGUGGUAACUGCGAGUGUAGAGGUGAAAUUCGUAGAUAUUCGCAAGAACACCAGUGGCGAAGGGCGGCUCACUGGCCCGGUACUGACGCUGAGGUGCGAAAGCGUGGGGAGCAAACAGGG